AGAGCCUUCCGCUUCACCUCGGUCUUGAUGGGGCGCACCACCGACUGCACCUCGUCGGAGUUGAUGAUUCUCGACAGGUCGGAGUUGCUCAUCUUCGACCUCGGCAGGACGUACUUGUUCUUCCUCUCCGACGCCUUAUCGAAGGUGCCGAAUACCGCGUCCAGCUUCUCGAACGCCGACCUGGUCCAGAUGAUGAACCUCCCGAGGUGACCACCCGGAGCGAGCUUCAGCAGGUUGAGCCGCUCCACAUUCAUCACGUCCACGCCGGGGAUGUUGCGGAACGCCUUCACAAUCUUAGACCCCUCCGUGCCAUACACGAUCAGGGGACCCUUGCGCGACACAUAGCGCCUAUUUCUCAUCUUCCCCUUUCCGGACCGGAUGGCGUGGCUGUCCUUGGCCUUCUCGGCGUCCGCGUACGCCCCGAUCUGCUUCAGGAUCUUGAUGGCCGACGAGGUCUUCUCCACGCUCUCGGCCGAGUCGGAGAUGACCAGCGGGACCUCAGGGAUCCCCUCGAUCCGGUGCCCGCGGGCCAUCACCAGAGCCGGAACGGCGGAGGCGGCCAGGGCCGACACCACCGCGUACCUCCGCAGGUUGAGGUUCACGCGCCGAUGCCAGCGCCGCCAUAUCUUCGUCGGGGCGAACAUCCGCCCGCCACGGCACAUGUUCCCGAAGGCACCCUGGCCGGCGCGGUGAGUACCGCCGCCGGGCACGCGGGGAAUACGAGACACGGCACGCCCCGUCCCCCACGACUCUGCCGAGGUCUGGUGGCCGGCGCGCUUCGACACGGCGUACGGCUGCCGCUUGUUCUUCGAGAUGUUGGAAUGGACGAAGCGGACGACAUCCGGCCGGAUGGUUGCCUUCAGGACAUCCGGCAGCGGGACGGCGUUCGACCCGUCCGUCGCCAUGUCGCCCUCCAGGGCGUGGACGGUCACCAGCGGCCUCACGGCGGCGACCAUGGUGCUCCGGUGCGGCGGCGGCAACAGAGCAAGGCGAAGUAGAUCUCAAGAUGUUAGGGUUUACACACGCCACACUUUAUAUUCACUACAUUAGGGUUCGGUCUAAUGGGCCGGGGGCCUCACGUGGUCCAAGUCCACCUCUUCCGGAACCAUGUGUGUUACCCAUCAACCCUCUUCCCACAGACCCCACACCCUCUAAUUAUUACUGAAAUUGGAUUGCAGCAGCCUUAGGGAGCCAGCCCAUACUAUCUUCAGCCAGUCCGAUUUCACAAGGUGGUCAACCGAUUAGGCUGACUUUCAAGAUUUUUAUGACAAUGGGUUUGACCUAUAUUAUCUUUGACUAGUAAAAUUUGGCUCAUUUAUAAUGAAAUAGUUAACUUAUUAGGCUCUACAUGUAGUCCAUCCAUCAAAAGAGUUUUCUUGACACAAGUCAACGCCACAUCCAUUCCAUUUUAAAGUCUAGGAACUAUAGUUUCCUUAAAUAUCCAAAAAAUGAGUUCAUUAAAUGGAGGUAUUUAUGAAAAAUUUGUAAAAGCACUUAGGAGAGCUUGCAAAGAAAAAAUACUAGCUAAUACCUUAAUGUUCAGUCUAGGGAGAUGGACCCAUUAUUAAUUUCAAUUGUUGUCCUUUUAAAAGAAUAGCAGAAAACUAGCAGUAGAGUAGGUUGACCCAAUAUAUAAAAAAGUAUAUGGGUGACUAUUGACUAGCAUAUUGACCUAGUGAGUUGACUCAAUGUCUAUUAACCUGUGCACCAACCCAUUAAAUAUAGAUGGAAGAAAAGUAUUCAAAAUUAAAAUAAGCAUGAACAACUUAACCCCCCCCCCCCUUUUUGACAUCCUAACUAACCUACAUUGGGGUAAAAAAUUAAAUAUAUAUAGCUAUUGUAAUGUCAAACUAACCAUGACAUAUAAGCACCACAUUGUGGAUCCUCCUACACAUCUUAUAACUAUUAUUUAAUUUUGGUGGUUAAAUUAUUCUCCCGAGAAAAUAGAUUAAUCAUGUAAGUUCCCAUGAAGAGCAAUACUACCUAGUUUAACCUCACAUACCAACAUGUUGGUACUAUCAUGAGGCAUGCUCAUGCCAAUCAAUGUGUGUGCAUGUCCUCUAUGUGUACACCUACAUCGUCAUAGUUUCACAUCAUGUAUAUGUUGUUGCUAUGUCAAUGCCCAUUGAGGUUUAUGAGAAGUGAUUAUAUACCAUGGUGCUACCAUGGCAAUGUUGUGUUAUGCCAUGUUAGUGGCCAGCAAGAUUUAUGAGAAGAUGAAGUAAGCCUACCAUUUUCACUAGUGAUGUUAACUUGUUCUGCAUACAUUUGCAUGCAUCUCCUAUGCUCACAUACAUGACAUAUUGUGCCAUUGCAUACACCUACAUUUAUAAUAUUAACAUAUCUGUGAUGUGUUGUGUUUGCUUGCUUAGUGCACAUACAUGUAUGUCUAUGUAUAUUCAAGUGUGUGCAAAAGUUUUACUUGGGAAAACCUUACUCUACCAAGUGAAGGGCCAUCAUACCUUUGACACUUGCUUAAUUUUGUAAGGUGUCUUUUCUUAUGAACUUUUUUCUCUUUUUCAUCAAUCACAAAUUUCUAUAAUUGUUCAACAUACAAAUAUUCAUCCAAAUAAUCAUUCGAAAAGACAAAGUUAACAUCAAAUCGAAAUAAACUAUCUCAUUUCUGCUAUUAUAAUAAAAAAAUCAUAGUAGUUUCAAAUGUAGUAACAUGUAAAAAUCCUUUUAGAUAAUACCAUAGUACUACACAUCUUUUUAUUACUCUUGCCUUAAAUUUAUGCACACUACUAUUUUGGUUAUACUUCACUUUGAAAACCCACAUCAUAUCUAUGAAUCCAUUCUUUCACAAUGAAUUCAUGAACCUCUGUGUCAUUCCUUUCAAUUGAGAUAAUUUCUUAGCCUAUAAAAUUCCCUUAUUUUUCCUUACCUUAAGUCUUUUUGUAGACUAUUCUUAUAAAGCCAUAAAAAUAAAAUUUUAUGGCUCAUAUAUUUCAAAAAUCAUUUGGAUAUCUUUGAGUGUUUUUCUGAAAAAAGCUUAAUAGGGGGGAAGCGUCACACGUCAUACUAUGCCCCAAUUGUAUCAACUCUACAUUUUCGAGAAGGGAAGAUUAAUAGGUCAUUACAUUAACUAGCCUAAAAAAAUUUCUCAUAGAUUAUAGAGAACUAGGAAGUUGCUUUUUAAUGCAGCCAUUUAGGAAGGCAUGAUUUUCAAAAGGCUUUUAAUUGGACAUUCCUAAAUUUGGGAUUUAUUGGUAGCCAUUGACCUGCUACAAAGCCAAACUUUUAGAGAGACCACUAAAACUUAACAACAUGUCAAAUCCUAUGAAAUAAUGGUCAUGCAUAUGCUUGUCUAAAAGACCCGAUGAUUACCUUUCAAAAAAAAAGAAUAUACAAAAAAUUGGGUUUUUUCUCUUGACAAUGUUCUUGAUAUCGUUCACCCUCUCAUAGCUAGGACUAGUGAAGAGCUUCAGCUUAGCCUAUUGAGCUCUGCAAAAUAGAAUCCUUUGGGCUUCCAAUCUCCCUUAUAAUGAUCAUUUACAUGCGAUUUCGGUGUUUAAUUAAUUUUAUAGGGUAUUUAUUAGUUUUUAGCUCAUGAUUAAGCAUAUGGCUUAAUGUUUUGGUUCGUCAUGGCAUGCCAUUCAGCUUGAUAUGUGAAGAUAGAGGCGUGGGCCAGUGAAGCCCAGCCCAUUAGACUGAGCCCUUUCCGAGUGAAUAAAAACUCCAACCUCCCUUUUGUCUGGGGGGUUUGAAAACCCUAGCAUAUACUGAGCUUCCGUCUCNNNNNNNNNNNNNNNNNNNNACUCUUCAUGUUAAGAUAUAGAGUGUUCUUGAAGUUUGACAUAUCUGUUUAUUACUCUAGAUGCCCUUUAAGAAAAUCAACACAUAAAUCCUUUAAAACUUAAUGCUCUUGUCCAAUAGUAAUUGGUUCAUAAUAAUCUAGUACGGAUCUAAUGAACUUGACUUAACAUGUCUUACAAAAGUAAUGAUAUCUUGAUCAAGUCUCAUAUGAAUCAAACCAAAUAAGAUAUUAGGUGUAAGUAUACUUCGUAUUCUUAAGUUUCAAAUUUUCAAUUCAUAAUAUCUUUAUCGAGAUUAAUUUGUAUGAUUUUUAAUACAUAUUCAAUAUAUAUUUAAAAAAUCUUAUUUGGUGAAUUCAACACUUGAUUGAUCAUAUGAUUGAUGCAACAUUAAAGCCAUUCAAUAAUGUAAAGUCAUAGGUUCAUAGACAAUUAAAUAAGCUUUUAUACCCAUCUUUUCUUUUAUUGAAUUUUUUUUGAUUUCCUUGUUCAAAUCAUUAUUCUAUUAACUAUCAUGAUUUCUAUAGAAAAUGUCAUUCUUGUAUAGUAGCAUAUAAUAUGAUGAAUUCUCAUGAUAUUAUGAUUUGGUUAUUCAUAUACAUAUCAUUAGUAUUUUGUUCAUUAAAUAUAUUAUUAAUUAUACGUUCAAAAUCAGAACAUAUAUGUUCCAUAUAUAUGUUUUCAUAUAUUACAUUAUAAUAAAUAUUUCAUGUUUAUAUAUAAUGUAUUUAUCUAUAUUCAGCCACACAUCUAAUUCGUUAAGUAGAUUAUUUUGAAUUAACCUUUAAUGAUUUUAUCGUCAUCGAAACAUAAUGACUUCAUGACUCUAAUAUACAUAUGUAUGAUAGGAGCACGUUGAUCAUUCAACCUAUUCCUAAAGUAUUUUGAUGAUGUAUUAAGAUGAUAUAUAUGGACAAUUUCAACAAUGAAAGGCAAACAUCUAAGAAGGUAGCAAACUAUAAUGAAGUAAAAAAAGGAGUGCUCUAAAAAAAGUAACAUUGACAAAGAUAAAGUGUUUGUAAAGUACAUGAGAAUAACACAUUCAUUUUGUGUAUGAGAAUAACCUAAAAAAAUAUAUUUUACAUAUUUGAGACCAAGUUUAUCGCGACUUGUAGGUAAAUGAUAAAUAAUAUAAGUACACCUAAUUAUCUUUGGUGGUACAUGGGAUAGUGGGCUAGUAAGAUAAAGAAUUGAAUAAGAAAUUUUUUGAUAUAGAACUGAUGAUGACAUACAAUUAAUCAAAUAAGUGGCAAUAAAAAUAAUAUCACUUUAAAACUCAAGUGAGACAUUCAUAUGCAAAAAAUAAGGUGUGGGCUAUCUCAAUGAUGUGAUACGUUUUCUUCUCACCUAUCCCAUUUUUGUUGAGAGGUAUAUGAAUGAUGCUUUGGGUAGAGAGAAAUUGUGUGAAAGAUGAACCAAAAUAUUCUUUAGUAUUAUUGGAAGGAAUAAUGUAAAUAUUCUUACCAAAUUGAUUUUUAAUUUUAAUAUAAAUAAUUAAAAAUUAGUGAAAUUCUAAAUUGUCAUUAAUAAGGUAAAGCCAGAUUAUACAAGAAUGAUCAUCUAUAAAGGUGAAAAAAUAUUUAAAUCAAGUUUAAAAUAGACACAAUUAAGACCUCAUACAUCGAAAUUGAUUAAAUUAGACAUAGACUCAACUCUAGAGAGCAUUCUUGACCCAAAGUUAAAAUAAUGAUGUUUACCCAAUUGACAAAACUCACAUUUAAUGAAAAAUUAAAAACCAUCAACUUGGGUUUAUUAAGAGAUGUAUGACCUAAUCGACUUUGAAUAUGAUGUCGUGAUGUAAUGACACAUGUAGCAUAGUGAGCUUUCCUCAAAUAGUAUAAAUCAUCAUCUUCAUAUCUUUUCUCAAUCCUCUUCUAUGGCUUCAAGUCCUGAAUGAAAAAGAAAUUAGGAAAUAAUGGCCACCUGAAGAGAGUGUGUGAGUUUACUAACAAAAAUAAAAUUGAAAGAAAACUUAGGAAUAUGUAAAACUAACUUAAAUAGAAGAUUAGGAUUAGGAGCUAUAUAUCCUAUACUAAGGUAACCAUCUACUAAGGUAAUAUUAAAAAGUUCAAGAGGAUUAGAAUAAAAUAUGAAAUUAAUAGAUAUACAUGUAAUAUAGUUGGUAAUACCUGAGUUAAAAACCUAAUGAGGUGGAUCACCUAAAGAAGAUAUAAUUGUACGAGAGAAACAAACAAUAGAUGUCUUAGGCUAUCUAAGGUAGUCACUAGUGCUGAAGCUUAUUUAGUGGCUCAAAAUUGGAGCAUGUGAGAAUAUUUUUAAUUAGAAAGUGACAUGUGGUGUACAACAUGAUAUUGGCAACUCGAUGAAGAUGAUUACAAAGUGCAUAACACAUAUCUUUUGUAUGCCCAUUUUUGCCACAAUAUAUACAUCACACUAUUGGCAAUCUCUAGAUGUUCUACCUCCACCUCCCCCUCUCCUAGAUUGACCACUAGGAGGGUACUCAUAAGACAAUGGCUGAGUAGAUACUUAUGUUGUAUUUUUCAUAGUAGGUAUGGUUUGUAGAGGGCCUUGAUUAAUAAAGACAUGAGGGACAUAUUGAUAGGCUUCAACAAAUGUAUGUAACUCACUCUCAUUACUUCAACAAAUGUAUGAAACUUGACCACUACAAAUUAAUCUUGUUAUUUCUAUAAGACUAAAAGAUUAAUAGAUAAGGAAAGUAACGAGAGUAGAUCUUGAGUGAGAUGAGUAACCUCACCAAAAUAUUAGUUUAGGCUUGACGCACUUUAUUUUAGCUAAUAAUACUCUAAUAUGAUGUUAUAAAUUUGAGAAAUAUUGUUGGAAUUCAUCAACCUUAGUGUUCCCUCACAACUUUGCAUGUGUCCAAAUUAGUGACUAAUGUGGUGAUGCGAGGCUCUAUAGAAUUCUAUAAUAAAUUGAAGAUAAUCAUAUAUUGUUGCCCCCACUACUCAUGAAGAUGUAGAUCAAAAGGCACACCUACUAAGAGAUGAUCAAUCUUACCUUGGUCUUUGAAAUAAAUCUUUAUUUAUUAUUGUCAAUGAUGAUAAUUUUUUCCAUUCAGAUUAUGAUUGGUCAAAACAUUGCUUGGAAUAAUAAAAGAAAUAGUAUUGGAAGGUGUAGGAUUCAGUCCAUCUACUAUGUGGAAUGUUAAUGGUAGGAUGGACCGUGACUGUAAGAUGGUAGAGAAUUGUAACAAAAAGGGCAAGAGUACUAAUAAGCCAUUUUGUGUAAUAGUAGGUCAAAGGUGACAAAGGAUGACAACUGACAACUUAAUGGCAUAACAAUAAGGAUGAAAACAAAGAUAAAAUCUUACUUUGUAACAAGAAUGUUAGUGAACUUAAUUUGUAGGUUCAACAUUACUUAAGGAUCUCUAAUACCUAGAGUAUCAAUGCAUUUUAUCUCAGUUCACAUCUGGAAAUGGAGCACCGAACUCAAGUAGAAUGUACCAUAAUCUGAUCAAUUGCGCACCCAUUACACCAUGCAAGUACCUUAUCCAUUAAACUUUGGGGAGAGCAAGAACGGACUCAAGUUUAGCAGAAGCUCCUCAAAACCGCCCAAACUGCUAGAUCAUUUCUCAAACAGAUCAACCGUCCAAGCGACCUCACCCCCAACCAAACAUGCCCGGUUCGUCCUCAAUCAUCCCCUUGGCCCCCCCUCCUCUGAAACCUCUCCUCAGUCAGCUACCUCCGAGGCCAGUUAGUAAUGGAGAUCACUGGGCAGCACCCGCCCACCGAUCCCCAGGGAAGUCACAAUGCCGUUCAGUAGAUGAGGAACCCCGCAUCAGCUAUUACUGCAUGGUUUGCGGAGAAGAAAUCCAAAUGAAGAGAGAAAACAGCAACCAGACAGAACCCCGGCAUUAUAAAAAUUCGCAAUGAUCUAUGAUCAUCUAGGUGAAACUCGCGAGGGCGAAACUAGGAGCAAGAGCACAGCGGUCUUAAACAGGUCGUGCAAACUCGAACCCGGAAAGGGGAAGCACUUUGCACACGAGGAGACGGGGGGAGCAGGGAGGGGGGAUUCGAUGUCACUGGGUCACGCCGAGCCACUUGGAGAAGUUUUCGAACUCGGUGUAGUCGCUGUCGGAGAUCAUCGUCUGGUACCAGCUCUUCCCCGCGGCCCUGAUGGCGGCUGCUUCUUCCUGCACCGGGCCAAGGACAGGGCUUAGAGAGAGAGAGAGCGAGGGAGAGAGAGCGGAGAAACGGCGCAAAAUCCAGGUCGGGAAGCCGGAGCUGCUCCGGCCCAGGAAACGGAAGCCUCCAUCGUCGUCGUCGUAACAAAAAAAGUCGACGAUUUGCAAGGAAGGGGGAGGAGGGGGAUGUUGCCGUGUAGAUCAGGCUUGAUCGGGCGUUCGCCGGGCUGCUUCAGCCCGUGAUUCUGCCGACUGAAACCAGACGAGCAGCAAACGGCGCGCGCACGAGACCAUGCGGGGACGGGGGCUAAGAUGAGACGUACCUUGGGGAGCUUGGUCCUCUUCUUGUCGAGCUUCUCCUUCUUCGACUUCACCCGCUGGGCCUCGGUCAGAAGCGCCACCCUCCUCGCGGUCUUCGCGUACGGGUUCAGCUUCAGCAUCGCGUUCAGGUUCUUCAGCGGGUUCUUCUUCAGAGCCUUCCGCUUCACCUCGGUCUUGAUGGGGCGCACCACCGACUGCACCUCGUCGGAGUUGAUGAUUCUCGACAGGUCGGAGUUGCUCAUCUUCGACCUCGGCAGGACGUACUUGUUCUUCCUCUCCGACGCCUUGUCGAAGGUGCCGAACACCGCGUCCAGCUUCUCGAACGCCGACCUGGUCCAGAUGAUGAACCUCCCGAGGUGACCACCCGGGGCGAGCUUCAGCAGGUUGAGCCGCUCCACAUUCAUCACGUCCACGCCGGGGAUGUUGCGGAACGCCUUCACAAUCUUAGACCCCUCCGUGCCGUACACGAUCAGGGGACCCCUGCGCGACACGUAGCGCCUGUUCCUCAUCUUCCCCUUUCCGGACCGGA
rnacentral:lncRNA from 1 species